UCAAAAGGCAGGUGGAGUCAGUGAUAUUUUAUCAUUUCACAAACAAUUAGUUAAAAAUAUGACUGUAGACUGGAAAGACUGGAGAACACUUGACACGAUGGCUAAAAUUAUAGUCUCAAGUAUCAUUCUUAUCUGUCUUAAAGCCACAGUUAUCUCGUCCCUCAUCGUCCAGCAAUUACCACAACAUCUACUAAUAAAACCUGAGGAGAGUCAAGCAAAGCUCAGCUGCCGGCAUGGUGAUAGCAGCUAUCCCUACAUGUACUGGUAUCAACAAAAAACAGUCAGUGACUCCAUUGAGCUCAUUGGAAUGCUCCUGAACAAAAACCCCACUCCUGAGGAGAAGUUUAAAACCCGAUUCAACAUUUCAGGACACGCUACAGGGGAUGCAUAUCUGUUCAUAUCCAGUCUAACUCCUGAGGACAGUGCAGUAUAUUUCUGUGCUGCUAGUAAGCACAGCCACACACUUUCCCUUUCUGUUUAA